ensembl:lncRNA
CGCAAGUCCUCCAAUUAAGCGAAAAUCACGCGUUUUCUCUUCGAGAAUCCCCCAUUUAACCCGCAAAUCAUGCGUUUUCUCUUCGAGAAUCCCCCAUUUAACGCAAAAAACACGCAUUUUCUCUUCUCAAAUCCCCCAUUUAACCCGAAAAUGGCACAUUUUCAAUUUGCAAAUCCCCCAUUUAACGAAAAACACACGUUUUCUCUUCACAAAUCCGCCAUUUAAGCAAAUAUCACGCGUUUUCUCUUCAGGAAUCUUCCAUUUAACCCGAAAAUCACGCGUUUUCUCUUCGCAAAUCCCCCAUUUAAGCAAAAAACAC